rnacentral:rRNA from 1 species
GAUGAACGCUGGCGGCGUGCCUAAUACAUGCAAGUCGAGCGAACAGACGAGGAGCUUGCUCCUCUGACGUUAGCGGCGGACGGGUGAGUAACACGUGGAUAACCUACCUAUAAGACUGGGAUAACUUCGGGAAACCGGAGCUAAUCCCGGAUAAUCUAUUGAACCGCAUGGUUCAAUAGUGAAAGACAGUUUUGCUGUCACUUAUAGAUGGAUCCCCGCCUCAUUAGCUAGUUGGUAGGGUAACGGCCUACCAAGGCAACGAUGCGUAGCCGACCUGAGAGGGUGAUCGGCCACACUGGAACGGAGACACGGUCCAGACUCCUACGGGAGGCAGCAGUAGGGAAUCGUCCGCAAUGGGCGAAAGCUUGACGGAGAAAGGCCGAGUGAGUGAUGAAGGUCUUCGGAUCGUAAAACUCUGUUAUUAGGGAAGAACAAAUGUGGAAGUAACUAUGCACGUCUUGACGGUACCGAAUCAGAAAGCCACGGCUAACUACGUG